ACAGGUUGUCAUGGAGACCAGGCUGGCCUUAAACCUUCUUUGUAGCUGAUGAUGACCUUGACCUCUUCAUCCUCUGCCUGCACCUCUCUAGAGCUCAAAUUCCAAGUUCAUGGUUUAUUUCAGUAAAGUCCUGUGGUGACAACAGAGAAGACCUCUCCCCUCUUACUCCUUUCCUGUGCCAGACACCUGGUGGCCUGCUGUUUUAUGAGUGAAAUGUUUUGACUUUAAAGGAGGCCUGUGCAGAAGGCAGACACUGUGUUAAUCACUGGGAGCCUCUUACGGGGUGUGUCCUGACUCUCAGGAAGCAUCUGGGGAUCGGCCAGCGACCCUCAGCACCACCCUUGUUUGGACUGACUCUGCAGACAGAACAUUCCAAAGACAGUGCUUUUAUUGCGUUUUCACAGAGAGGCUGACGAGAGAGGACUCAAGGUAUUAUGGGAUGCCAGGACUUUGAUUCGUUCGUCUGCAUCAUAAGCAUCCCGUUGGCACAUAGUCCUGAGAGCCAUGCCAUCUGGAUGAGUUGAGAAGCUGAUGAUACACUUGGUUUUGGAGGCCUCGAGGGCAAAUGGAACAAGCAAAGCAGUCAGAGAGGACAGCCGGGAAAAAGACAGAGCCACUGUUGUCCUGGCAGAUGCAGAGGAAACCAACACAAAAUGCUCUCACAUGCCCCUGGCAGAGCAGGGAUGCCCAGGACCCCCUCCAGCCACCAUGGCCAAGGCACCCGGGUGUUACCCACACAGGCAUUUCUUUUACAUUCAGUUUGUGUUUCUAUCGAAUCAAAGGGGUUUGUUAGCAAAACCAGUAAAAAAAAAAAAAAAAAAAAAAGUCAAAUAAGAAAACUUAUUUCGUAUUAGAGUAGUCCCUCCUUCCCCAGUCCAUCCUGGACUUACCAGAGUUGGUAAAAGUUAGCUGAUGGGGCACUGACAUCCCCUUCAUCUUCUCCCCCAUUUUCUCCCCAGCUGUUCUCCUAUCAGCUGGGCUUUGCUGUGCUAUGCUGGCCAGCUUUGUGUCAACCUAACACAAGCUGGAGUCACCUGAGAGGAGGGAACCUCAGCUGAAAAAAUGCCCCCAUAAUGUGGGGCUUUAGGCAAGCCUGUAGGGCAUUUUCUUAAUUGGUGAUUGAUGUGGGAGGACCCAGCCCAUUGUGGGUGGUUCCACGCCUGGGCUGGUGGCCCUGGGUACUCUAAGAAAGCCAGCUGAGCAAACUAUGAGGCACAAACCAGCAAGCAAGAUUCCUCCAUGGCCUCUGCAUCAACUCCUGCUGCCAGAAACCUGCUUGAGUUCCUGUCUUAGAUGAUGUACUGUGAUAUGGAAGUACAAACCAAACAAACCCUUUCCUCCCCAA